AACCAAAGUGUUGAGUUCAGUUCUGGGCUUUCUCCCCAGUUCUGGUAAUUAAUCUUUGGUACAGAAAAUGGCUGAAUGACAACAGAGACGUGAAGUGGUUCUGCUGUGACCACCUUCAUCAAACUUCAGCCUACAUUA
ensembl:snoRNA